UACGAAGGGUGCAAGCGUUACUCGGAAUCACUGGGCGUAAAGCGUGCGUAGGCGGUUCGUUAAGUCUGCUGUGAAAGCCCUGGGCUCAACCUGGGAACUGCAGUGGAUGCUGGCGGACUAGAGUGUGAUAGAGGAUGGUGGAAUUCCCGGUGUAGCGGUGAAAUGCGUAGAGAUCGGGAGGAACACCAGUGGCGAAGGCGGCCAUCUGGAUCAACACUGACGCUGAGGCACGAAAGCGUGGGGAGCAAACAGG
rnacentral:rRNA from 1 species